rnacentral:rRNA from 1 species
UACGUAGGUGGCGAGCGUUGUCCGGAUUUACUGGGCGUAAAGGGAGCGUAGGCGGACUUUUAAGUGAGAUGUGAAAUACUCGGGCUCAACUUGAGUGCUGCAUUUCAAACUGGAAGUCUUGAGUGCAGGAGAGGAGAGUGGAAUUCCUAGUGUAGCGGUGAAAUGCGUAGAUAUUAGGAGGAACACCAGUUGCGAAGGCGGCUCUCUGGACUGUAACUGACACUGAGGCACGAAAGCGUGGGGAGCAAACAGG